GGGGUGACUAGUGACAGAGAGAGGGAGGGGGCGACUAGUGACAGAGUGAGGGAGGUUGUGAUUAGUGACAGAGGGAGGGAUGGGGUGACUAGUGACAGUCACCACCUCCUUCACUCGGUCACUAGUCACCCCCUACCCUCACUCUGUCAUUGUGUCACCCCCUUCCUCACUCUGUCACUAGUCACCCACUCCCUCCCUCACUCUGUCACUAGUCACCCCCUCUCUCACUCUGUCACUAGUCAUCCCC